UUUAACGAGAGUUUGAUCCUGGCUCAGGAUGAACGCUGGCGGCGUGCUUAACACAUGCAAGUCGAACGAAGCACCUUAUUCUGAUUUCUUCGGAAUGAAAAAUUUGGUGACUGAGUGGCGGACGGGUGAGUAACGCGUGGGUAACCUGCCUCAUACAGGGGGAUAACAGUUAGAAAUGACUGCUAAUACCGCAUAAGACCACAGCACCGCAUGGUGCAGGGGUAAAAACUCCGGUGGUAUGAGAUGGACCCGCGUCUGAUUAGGUAGUUGGUGGGGUAACGGCCUACCAAGCCGACGAUCAGUAGCCGACCUGAGAGGGUGACCGGCCACAUUGGGACUGAGACACGGCCCAAACUCCUACGGGAGGCAGCAGUGGGGAAUAUUGCACAAUGGGGGAAACCCUGAUGCAGCGACGCCGCGUGAGCGAUGAAGUAUUUCGGUAUGUAAAGCUCUAUCAGCAGGGAAGAAAAUGACGGUACCUGACUAAGAAGCACCGGCUAAAUACGUGCCAGCAGCCGCGGUAAUACGUAUGGUGCAA
rnacentral:rRNA from 1 species